rnacentral:snoRNA from 1 species
AACCCAUGGUGAGGACAUGACAUCUCCAAGUCCUUGAAUCGCUCCCAACACUCAUUAAAACUUUCUUGUGGAAGUUGUCGGAAUGCAACAAGCUCAUCUCUAACAUU